rfam:Oryza glumipatula chromosome 6, whole genome shotgun sequence.
AAAAAGACAAAAUCUGGUUUCUGUCCAAUGUUUGAUCGUCCGUCUUAUUUAAAAAAAUUAUGAAAAUAAUAAAAAAGAUAAGUCACGUAUAAAGUAUUAAUCAUGUUUUAUCAUCUAAUAACAAUAAAAAUAUUAAUUAUAAAAAAAUUUCAUAUAAGACGGACAGUCAAAUAUUGGCACGGAAACCUAGGGUUUGCCUCUUU